rnacentral:rRNA from 1 species
UGGGUAAUCUUGUGAAACUUCAUCGUGCUGGGGAUAGAGCAUUGCAACUAUUGCUCUUGAACGAGGAAUCCCUAGUAAGUACAAGUCACUAGCUUGUGCUGAUUACCUCCCUGCCCUUUGUACACACCGCCCGUCSCUACUACCGAUUGAAUGGCUUAGUGAGGCCUUCGGAUUGAAAUUCGGAGACUGGCAACAGACUCUUGGUUUUGAAAAGUUGGACAAACUUGGUCAUUUAGAGGAAGUAAAAGUCGUAACAAGGUUUCCGUAGGUGAACCUGCGGAAGGAUCAUU